rnacentral:rRNA from 1 species
GACGAACGCUGGCGGCGUGCUUAACACAUGCAAGUCGAACGGAAAGGCCCUGCUUUUGUGGGGUGCUCGAGUGGCGAACGGGUGAGUAACACGUGAGUAACCUGCCCUUGACUUUGGGAUAACUUCAGGAAACUGGGGCUAAUACCGGAUAGGAGCUCCUGCUGCAUGGUGGGGGUUGGAAAGUUUCGGCGGUUGGGGAUGGACUCGCGGCUUAUCAGCUUGUUGGUGGGGUAGUGGCUUACCAAGGCUUUGACGGGUAGCCGGCCUGAGAGGGUGACCGGCGACAUGGGGACGAAGGGACGGACCAGUGGCCAACGGGCGGCAGCGGGGGGGAAUAUGGCAGAACGGGGGGAGGUCGGAGGCAGCAGCUCCGGGUGCGGGAUACCGGCCUUCGGGGGGGAAACCGCAGGCGCCGGUGACGAAGCCGGAUUGACGGUAACGGAUAAGGAAGCACCGGCUAACUACGUG